UUUAGAUAACUUAAAAAAAGUAUUAAUCUUUUAAAUUAAAUUUAGGUAAAAACCUUCUAAAU
rnacentral:tRNA from 1 species